ACGAACGCUGGCGGCGUGCUUAACACAUGCAAGUCGCACGGAAAGGCCUUUUCGGAGGUACUCGAGUGGCGAACGGGUGAGUAACACGUGGGUGAUCUGCCCUGCACUCUGGGAUAAGCCUGGGAAACUGGGUCUAAUACAGGAUAGGACCGCACUUUAGUGUGUGUGGUGGAAAGUUUUUUCGGUGUAGGAUGAGCCCGCGGCCUAUCAGCUUGUUGGUGGGGUAAUGGCCUACCAAGGCGGCGACGGGUAGACGGACUGUGAGGUUGGUCGGCGACAUUGGGACUGAGAUACGGCCCCGACUCCUACGGGUGGAAGCAGUGGGGAAGAUUGCACAAUGGGCGCCAGCCUGAUGCAGCGACGCCGCGUGGGGGAUGACGGCCUUCGGGUUGUAAACUCCUUUCGCCAGGGACGAAGCGUUUUGUGACGGUACCUAGAGAAGAAGAACCGGCUAACUACGUG
rnacentral:rRNA from 1 species